rnacentral:rRNA from 1 species
CCUACGGGAGGCAGCAGUGAGGAAUAUUGGUCAAUGGACGAGAGUCUGAACCAGCCAAGCCGCGUGAAGGAUGACUGCAUUGUGGGUUGUAAACUUCUUUUGUAAGGGAAUAAAACCAGGCACGUAUGCCCUUUUGCAUGUACUUUAUGAAAAAGCAUCGGCUAACUCCGUGCCAGCAGCCGCGGUAAUACGGAGGAUGCGAGCGUUAUCCGGAUUUAUUGGGUUUAAAGGGAGCGUAGGUGGUUUGUUAAGUCAGUUGGGAAAGUUUGGGGCUCAACCGUAUAAUUGCAAUUGAUACUGGCAGUCUUGAGUAGAGUUGAGGUAUGCGGAAUGCGUGGUGUAGCGGUGAAAUGCAUAGAUAUCACGAAGAACCCCGAUUGCGAAGGCAGCUU